rnacentral:rRNA from 1 species
CAUCUGGGGGAUCGCUCGGCUCGAGUACCGAAGAAGGUCGUGACAAGCUGCGAUAAGCUGCGGGGAGACGCAUGAGUGUCUAGGAUCCGCAGAUAGCUGAAUGGGACUUCCUAUCCCUUAGGGGAUAAUCGCAAUAGCGAUAGGGAACCCCCCGAAUUGAAGCAUCUUAGUAGGGGGAGGAAAAGAAAUCAAUGAGACUCCGUGAGUAGUGGCGAACGAAAACGGAAUAGGACAAACCGAAUCUCGACUGGAAACUGAGAGACAUGUGGUGUGACCAUUUAUCGCCUAAGUCACUGAAAUAGAAGUCGUCUGGAAUGACACAGCCAUAGAGGGUGAAAGUCCCGUAUAUGUAGGUGAUACGGCCACGUAAUGAGUCAGGAGUAGCAUGCGUUGGAUAUCGCGUGUGAAGACGGGAGGCAGGAACUUCCAAUCCUAAGUAUAGCUCGAGACCGAUAGUUUACAAGUAACGUGAGUGAAAGCUGAAAAGAAUCCUUAGCGGGAUGUGAAAAGAACGUGAAACCAGAUGGGUACAGGCUGAAUAGGCGUGAAAGCGAAGAUAUGAGCAGCGUCUAUUCGUGCGUUUCGAAAAAUGCCCCAGGGAGUCUUGAUCAUUGGCGAGGUUAAGGAGUUGAUCUCCGUAGCCGAAGGGAAACCGACAAGUCCGCAGCAGUUUACUGUGAGGGACGAAGUGUGCUCGCUUGGAGUCAAUGGUGGAGGACCUGAAGCCCGACGAUCUAUGCCUGGCCAGAUUGAAGCCCGACGAAAGUUGGGUGGAGGAUCGAACCGUUGCUGAUCUGCAAAUCGCUCGGACGAGCUGGGUAUAGGGGUGAAAGUCCAAUCGAGUUGGGCAAUAGCAGGUUCCGCGUGAAACUACUCGUAGGUAGACGUCCGUGAAGAUUGAUUACGCUGUAGAGCACUGAUUGUGCGUUUAGGGGACUCGCGUCCUCGGCGUGCUGCCAAACUCCGAAGGUGUAAUCGUUGUAGAAGCGGGCAGUGAGUCAUGGUGGGUAAGCUACCAUGACGCAAGGUGAACAAACCAGCCUGAAGUUAAGGUCCCUAAAUUCCAAUUAAGUGUCACAGACAAACCGUGUCCGUGGUCGAAAACAACCAGAAGGUGGGCUUAGAGGCAGCCAUCCUUGAAAGAGUUCGUAACAGAUCACUGGUCUAGCUUGCGGGCCGGGAAAAGGGACGGGGCUAAAAUUGGAUACCGAUACUUCAGACCAUCGAAAGAUGAUGUGGUAACGCGGCGUAGUGUUUGGGUGGAAGCAAGGCUGUGAGGUCUUGUGGACCGGAUACUAAUGAGAGUCUUGGGAAGAGUAGCAGCACAGUGUGGUGAGAAUCCGCACCACCGGAGGGGCCAGGGUUCCUCGGCACUGUUUAUCAGCCGAGGGUUAGCCGGUCCUAAGGCAAUUCUUAACCGAAAUUGUCGAAAGGGAAUGAUGUUAAUAUUCAUCAGCCCCCCCUGUAAUCUAUGGUGACGGCUCGGGCAAAGUCAUGAGAUCAUAUGUCAGGGCUCAUGAUACCAAGCUUCUGGAGAACUGUUAUAGUGAGAAGGAAGCGAAGUCCUGGGUCCCAUGAAAAGCCACAGGGGGUGACCGUACCGAGAACUGACACAGGUGCCCCUGGGUGAGUAGCCUAAGGUGUAUCGGAUACAAAUAUCGCGAGGGAACUCGGCAAAAUAGCUCCGUAACUUCGGGAGAAGGAGUGCCAGCUUAGGAAUAAGCUGGUCGCAGUGACCAGGGAGCUCCGACUGUUUAAUAAAAACAUAGGGGACUGCCAGAUCGAAAGGUUGUGUAUAGUCCCUG